rnacentral:tRNA from 1 species
CGUUCUAUAGCCAAAUUGGUAAUGGCAUCACCAAUCACAGGCGAGGGAUGCGGGUUCGAGUCCUGCUUGAACGG